rnacentral:rRNA from 1 species
AGGCAAGCGUUAUCCGGAAUUAUUGGGCGUAAAGAGCAUGUAGGCGGUUUAUUAAGUCUGAUGUGAAAGCCAAUGGCCUAACCAUUGAAUUGCAUUGGAAACUGGUAAACUAGAAUACUGGAGAGGUAAGUGGAACUCCAUGUGUAGCGGUGGAAUGCGCAGAUAUAUGGAAGAACACCAAUGGCGAAGGCAGCUUACUGGACAGAGAUUGACGCUGAGAUGCGAAAGCGUGGGGGAGCA